CCGACCUUAGCUCAGUUGGUAGAGCGGAGGACUGUAGUUUGAUUAAUCUAAAUUGGAAAUCCUUAGGUCGCUGGUUCGAAUCCGGCAGGUCGGA
rfam:Ipomoea nil DNA, scaffold: scaffold1892, cultivar: Tokyo-kokei standard.